rnacentral:rRNA from 1 species
UACGGGGGGAGCAAGCGUUGUUCGGAUUUACUGGGCGUAAAGGGCGCGUAGGCGGUCAGCACAAGUCAGUUGUGAAAUCUCCGGGCUUAACUCGGAAAGGUCAACUGAUACUGUGCGACUAGAGUGCAGAAGGGGCAACUGGAAUUCUCGGUGUAGCGGUGAAAUGCGUAGAUAUCAGGAAGAACACCCGUGGCGAAGGCGGCUCUCUGGGACGGUACUGACGCUGAGGUGCGAAAGCGUGGGGAGCAAACAGG